rnacentral:tRNA from 1 species
UGGGGGAUCGUCUAAUGGUAGGACAGCGGACUCUGACUCCGCCAAUCUAGGUUCGAAUCCUAGUCCCCCAGCCA